rnacentral:rRNA from 1 species
GACGAACGCUGGCGGCGUGCCUAAUACAUGCAAGUCGAGCGGACGGAUGGGAGCUUGCUCCCAGACCGUCAGCGGCGGACGGGUGAGUAACACGUGGGCAACCUGCCUGUAAGACUGGGAUAACUCCGGGAAACCGGGGCUAAUACCGGAUAACUCUUUCCCUCACAUGAGGGAAAGCUGAAAGAUGGCAUCUCGCUAUCACUUACAGAUGGGCCCGCGGCGCAUUAGCUAGUUGGUGAGGUAACGGCUCACCAAGGCGACGAUGCGUAGCCGACCUGAGAGGGUGAUCGGCAACACUGGGACUGAGACACGGCCCAGACUCCUACGGGAGGCAGCAGUAGGGAAUCUUCCGCAAUGGACGAAAGUCUGACGGAGCAACGCCGCGUGAGUGAUGAAGGUUUUCGGAUCGUAAAACUCUGUUGUCAGGGAAGAACAAGUACCGGAGUAACUGCCGGUACCUUGACGGUACCUGACCAGAAAGCCACGGCUAACUACGUG